AAAGUCGUAACAAGGUUUCCGUAGGUGAACCUGCGGAAGGAUCAUUAACGAAUAUAAUUCGAGGGGUUGUCGCUGGCCUCGCUCGCGCGAGGCAUGUGCACGCUUCUCGUUUUUCUCUCAACUCACCUGUGCACCUAAUGUAGGAUGCCUCUCCUCCGGGAGGGGGGACCUAUGUCUUCGUAACAUCUUCGUGUAGAAAGUCUUUGAAUGUUUACUAUCAUCGAGUCGCGACUUCUAGGAGACGCGAUUCUUUGAGAUAAAAGUUAUUACAACUUUCAGCAACGGAUCUCUUGGCUCUCGCAUCGAUGAAGAACGCAGCGAAAAGCGAUAUGUAAUGUGAAUUGCAGAUCUACAGUGAAUCAUCGAAUCUUUGAACGCACCUUGCGCUCCUCGGUGUUCCGAGGAGCAUGCCUGUUUGAGUGUCAGUAAAUUCUCAACCCCUCUCGAUUAGCUUYGAGAGGGWGCUUGGAUAGUGGAGGUUGCCGGAGACUUGGAUUCGUCCGAGACUCGGGCUCUUCUGAAAUGCAUCGGCUUGCGGUCGACUUUCGACUAUGYGCGACAAGGCUUUCGGCGUGAUAAUGAUCGCCGUUCGCUGAAGCGCAUGACUGAAYGUCCCGUGCCUCUAAUAYGUCGACCGCUUAUUAUCUCUCCGGAGAGAACAGGGUCUUCCUUAUUGACUUUUGACCUCAAAUCAGGUAGGACUACCCGCUGAACUUAAGCAUAUCAAUAAGCGGAGGAAAAGAAACUAACAAGGAUUCCCCUAGUAACUGCGAGUGAAGAGGGAAAAGCUCAAAUUUUGAAUCUGGCGGUCUUUAGGCC
rnacentral:rRNA from 1 species